rnacentral:rRNA from 1 species
AAUAGCCUAACGGCUGAACCAGCAACUUGGAGGAAUGUAUAGCUACGGCUAAUUGUGUAUAACUACACGAUAUCGACUCUGUCGAAUAAAAUUCUGGGUAAAUUAUGAUGAUGACAUUUUUUACCCAUGUGUCUUGACCAAAUUGUGUGCCAGCAGUCGCGGUAAUACAUAGAAGACUAGUGUUAUUCAUCUUUAAUAGGUUUAAAGGGUACCUAGACGGUAGAUCAAGCCCUAGACGGGACUAAUUUGCUAGAGUUACUUACGAGGGGGCUUUAAAGUACUAAUGGUGUAGAGAUAAAAUUUUGUAAUACCAUUUUUCGUAAAGAAAAAUUAUGGCACUGGUAAAGGUGAAAGCAUCCCCCUAUGUGAUAACUGACGUUGAAGGACGAAGGCUUUGGGUCGCGAAUAGGAUUAGAUACCCUAGUAGUCAAAGCAGAAAAUUAUGAGUGUCAUAGAUUAGAUAAUACAGUUUAUUCUAUAAAUGAAAGUGUAAGCACUCCACCUCAAGAGUAAUUUGGCAACAUUGGAACUGAAAUCAUUAGACCGUUUCUGAAACCAGUAGUGAAGUAUGUUGUUUAAUUCGAUGAUCCGCGAAAAACCUUACCACAAUUUGAAUAUGUAUACUUUUGAUAUAUUUACAAGCGUUGCACGGCUGUCUUCAGUUAAUGUCGUGAGACUUUGGUUAGAUCCAUUAAAUUAACGUAAGCCCUUACUUUAUUUUCAUAUAAAGUAGUUCUCCACCAUAUUGGACAAGAUAACAGGGACUAAGACAAGUCAUCAUGGCCUGAAUAUUGUGGGCUAUAGACGUGCCACAUAAACCUCUACAAAGGGAUGUGAAAUUGCGAAAUUAAACUAAUCCCCAAAACUGGAUAUAAUAUCAAU